rnacentral:rRNA from 1 species
UACGUAUGGAGCAAGCGUUAUCCGGAUUUACUGGGCGUAAAGGGAGCGUAGGCGGCCUGCCAAGUCUGAUGUGAAAUACCGGGGCUCAACCCCGGGGCUGCAUUGGAAACUGGCAGGCUGGAGUGCCGGAGAGGCAGGCGGAAUUCCUAGUGUAGCGGUGAAAUGCGUAGAGAUUAGGAAGAACACCAGUGGCGAAGGCGACUUACUGGACCGUAACUGACGCUGAGGCAUGAGAGCAUGGGGAGCAAACAGG